rnacentral:lncRNA from 1 species
GAUCUACACCUCUCCCUCUUCCGGUUGUAUCUUUCUUUGUAAUUAUCUUUUGUAGGCCGAGGGGUAAAGCACUUUUGCCUUGACCCCUAGAAGGUUCACCCCUCCAUUUUGAAGUAUCACCUUUGCAUCUAGAUUGAACCAUUUUUUGUAUCAAUUAAAGGUAAUUAUUAGUUGUAAUUCGAGUUCAAACAUACAGAGAGAUAUGUAAAGACACACUGGAAAAUACACUAAGGAACACAGUUGAAACAUGCUUGCAGGAUAAGGAUCUGCCCUCCAUACAUUUUUCCUUGCGGCUGCAGAUUGGGCCUUCCAGACCGCACAAUUCUCUCUUAUGGCUGUAUAUAUGGAUUGCGGUCCGCAUAUUCUUCCUUGCGGCUGCAACUCAUAAACCAAAUGUCCAAAUGCACACCUCAAAAGAGAUAUGACCCGGUCGCAUGCAAUAAUAAAACCCAACUAAGAGUUGGAGUCGAAUCCGUAGGGAGCUAAGAUAGGAGCUAGUAGUAUAUAUUCGGAAUGAGCAAGUGAAGUAUCUUGAUUACACUUCCACAAAGAGGUUUUUGUUUCUAUUUCUAAUGUUAAUCUUAGGAUUAUACAAUAAAGAUAGAAGACUAGAGAUAAUUGUUUUUGAGGUUUUUUUCAAAUAUAUAAAAAGUCUAGAGCUGUGACCAUGACCUAGGUAUUUGCCUAAUGGGAUAAAGAAUUUUAUACUCAUUUUUUUCAUUGGGGUGUAUUAUAGCCCACUCAAUAUCUCUAGAUCAGAGAGUGAAUUUGCGCAAUUUGGCAUUCUCAAGACCAAAUGGGUAUCAACCAAAACAGUUGAUAAGAGCUCAAGUCGGGUUGUUACUAUCUCUAGGUUGAACUCUUUAAUUGGGUUAAUCAAUCUCUCAAUUGACCCAAUUCCUUGUUAGCUAAGUUAUCCUAGACUAGGUCCCUCUUUAUCAAGUAGAGACUAAGUUAAAUAGGCAUGAAUCAAUAUUUGCAACCAUCCAUUCUACAAUUGAAGCAUGAACUAAGCUAAAUAAUAAACACCCAAUCAUAAACAAGCAUAAAAUUAAUCACCCAUAAGGUUUACACACUAGGGUUGGGUCAUAACCCUAGUAAAAAUCUAGCUACUCAUAGUGGGUAUUGAAGAAAACAAAGAAGAAAAGCUAAUAAAACUCAUAUUUUAAGAUUAAAAUAAAGAAAUCCAAUGUUAAUACACCAAAAUAAGCUAAAACUUCCUAAAAUGGCAAAGAGAAAUGGCUACAGGACUUUCAGAUGUUCAAACUUGACCUAAUUUUUUUAAACUCGUCUAUUUAUACAAGAUUGAAAAUCGCGAAAAAAAAUACCCCUCGGGAGGUUUUGUGAGCACACAAUUCCUUGUGCGGUCUACAGAGUACAUCUGUCAGGAACUAGGGGUCUGCGGCCGCACAUUUCUGAACUGCGGCCGCGAGGCAAUUCUUCUACGGUCCGCACAAUUAUGACUACGACUGCAAGGCAUUCUUCUGCGGCCGCACAGUUCUUGUGUGGUCCGCACUUUGCACAAAUGUCUGCUAGAUUCUUCUUCUUGGUUUGCGGCCACAAAAGGAUUUCUCUGGUCCGCAAGUUCUUCUGCGGACCGCACUUUUUAAGCUUUUGUGCCUUUUAUUUUCUUGUGCCUCGGAUUAUUCCUUUUUAGUCGGAUUUCCUCUCGGGAGAUCAACUUCCAUCAUUCCUACAAUUUUGCACAAUUUCAUCAGUUUUGGGGAUACAAUUCAAUGCUUUUAGGCUAAAACAAAAGCUAAAAGGCGCUAAUAAGCAGUCAAAAUCUCCACUUAUCAGUGUACAUAGGUUGGGUUGGUUCGGAUUUUUCAAUUACAAAAUCAAACCAAUGGUGUCAGGUUUUUAAAUCUAUAAACCAAAAUGUGUAACUUGUGCUCCAAAUAUUUCUUUAGUCCUAGUGCGAUACAACUAUAUAAUGUAUUCUCACGACUCGGAAUCCCACCGUCGGGAUCGUGAUGGAUCAUAACAUUUUACUUGCUAGGCAAGCUAACGUUAGCUAAAUUACUUAACAAAUUUUAACAAUUCAAAUCAAAACAUUGGCAAUAAUAACCUUAAUAGUCUAAAAUAGAGUAAUAUAAUGCUAUAUAACAUAAUCUAAACACAUCCCAGAAUGUGGAGUCACGAAUACAUGAGCAUCUGGAGUGCUACAUGUAAAGUCUGAACGAAUGGAAGAGGCCUUCAGGGCUACGGACGCCGCACAGCUAGACCUCAAGUCUCCAAAUAGUAGCUGAAUCCGAGUAGUCUCGCUACGCGCAGCUGGAACCCACAUGGUAUCUUCACAAGAAGUACAAAGUGUAAUAUAAGUACAAGUGACUCAAUGUACUCUGUAAGUUCCGAGCCUAACUUCACAAAGUAGUGAUGAGGCUAUGGCAAGUCAAUUACAAAUAACAUGUACGAAAGAAUAAUAAUAACAACAAAACGGGAAUAGAAAUAAAGCAAUUAACUCAGGAUAACGGAUCCGAAAUUUCAACUACUAGAGAACCCAGAAUAACAAAGACUCAGGUCUCAUAUCACAGUACCGAGGAUAUCUCAACAAGCACAAAUAAUUACAACAUAUCAAAUCUGUUGUGGUGCGCAACCCGAUCCCGCCAUAUCAUUGUCUGUUCAUAUCAUAAUCCGUCCUUAUUCCUUCAUUUCAUUUCAUUACCUUUCAAUUUCAAUUGCGGUGAGCAACCCGCUCCCCAAACAAUCUCAAUCAUCAACAUAAACAAUUCAACAACAAUAUUUACAAAAUAUCUACAUCAAGAAGGUAAAUAUACAAGAUAGUAAAGAACCAUGGAAUAAUUGAAAAAUCUCUAACAUUGCGAAAUCUGAAACCUUUCCAAUUCAUCGGUACAUAAUAGUUCAACAGCCCACGCAAGUGAGACAACAUUAUAGAAUGCAAAAAAUACUACAUAAACAAUAGAGACAUGUAAAACAUAUGGUAAUUAAGAUAUGCAAUUAAGACAGAUAGAAACAUGUAGUAAAUAAGAAGAAAUAAUGUGGGAAAUGAACAAAGUAAGGCAACGCAACAAUUAAACGCCAAGUAACAAAUAUAGCAUAGAAGUCAAGUAAAGACAUAUAACAAUUAGAGCAUAAAAUAAGAGAUAUCAUGAAAUAAACGAAAACAUAGAAAUAGAUAUCCAACUUUCGCAUGCUAAAUCCCAUGACAACGUAUAUACACCCGUCAACUCACAUAUAUGUCGUUUCCCCAUAUAAUCCACAUAACAAACGAUGCAACAAAUCCUAAUUUCCUCAAGUCAAGGUAUCAACCACGACCUUGCCUUUUGAACAAGCCUCUAAACCAACCAAAUCUAGCAAAUUAUCGAUCAAACGAUUCACAAUAAACUUUAGGAACAACCCAUUAAUGAAAGAGGUUCAAAUUUGAUCAUUUUUUAAAAAGUCAACAAAAGUCAACCCCUAACCAGCUUGGUCAAAACUCGAGGUUCGGACCAAAACUCGAUUACACAUUCACCCCCGAUCCUGAUUAUGUGAUUUGUUUUGAAAUCCGACCUCAAAUUGAGGUCUAAACCUCAAUUUUACAAAAUUCCCAACUUCUACCCAAGUCCCUAAUUUCUACCAUAGAAAUCCUAAAUUUCAUGUUGAAAUCUUAUGAAAAGUAAUAGGAAAUUCAAAGAAACUAGAUUAGAGUUGCUUACCAAUGAUUUUGGGAAGAAAAGUCUCUUGAAAAAUUGCCUCUUACCAAUUUUUCCCUCUUUUACCUAGCUUCAGAUUUCGCAAUUGCGAUGUCUUGUUCGCAAUUGCGACCAACGCAAAUGCGAAGCACAUAUCAUAAAUGCGAACUGUGCAUCAGAAGCCCAUAUGUCACAAAUGCGACAAAAUUGAUCACAAAUACAAAAAACCUAUCUUGGCAAAUGCGGCCAAAUUCUUCACAAUUGUAUUGGUGUUCUAUUUUUUCUAGGCAUCGCAAAUGCUCGCAAAAGCAAUCCGAGACAGUUCGUAAAUGCGAAUUAUUUCCUCAUAAAUGCGAGGUAACCCAAUCCCAAACCUAGCUCGUAAAUGCAAACUUUUGUCCGUAAAAGCGAGGCUCGCAAUUAUGAGCCAUACCUCACAAAUGCAAACACCAAAAACUAGCAGACUACAAACCAUGCAAACUCAUCCGAAACGCAUCCAAAACUCACUUCGAGCCCCUCAGACUCCAAACCAAAUAUGCACACAAGUAUUAACAUUAUAUAAACUCGCUCGCGCGAUUAAAUCAUCAAAAUAACAUUUAAAACUACAAAUCAACCCUCAAAACAAAUGAAAUUUCAAAGGAAAACUCAAGAACAACUAGAAUCAUAACUAAACGUCCGAAUCAUAUUAAAUCAACUCCGAAUUGCACCAAAUUUUGUAGAAAAUUUAAAUAGCAAAACAGACCUAGACCAAGUCCCAAAAUUAAAAUCCGAACCCGAUCACCAAGAAUUAAUCCUACGGUCAAACCUAGGAAAUUUCCAAACUUUCAAGUUUCUAGCUUUCGGCAAAAUGAGCCAAAUCAACCUAGGGACCUCUGAUUUUAAUUUCGGAUAUAUGCCCAAGUACAAAAUUACAAUACAUAUCUAUGAGAAUCGUCAAAAUAUCGAUCCGGGGUUUUUUACACAAAAAUAUUGAUUGUGGUCAACUCAAGGUAUUUGUAAAAUAAAAAAUCACAUUUUCUUCAAAUUUUUACGUAAAACAUUUUCAAAAAGUGACACGGACCAUGCACGUUAAUCAAGAAACAACAAAUAGAGCUAAUGGAGGUCGCAAAACUCAAAAUUAAGGGCUAGUACUCAAAAUGACCUAUCGGGUCGUCACAUUCUCUACCUCUAAAAGAAACGUUCGUCCUCGAACGGACAUAGAAAAGUAUCUGGACUAGUGAAAAGGUAAGGGUAUCUACUAUGCAUAUUGGAUCAGACUCCCAUAUAGCUGCCUUGAUCAGUUAACCUCUCCAAUACACUCUACAAGAAGGAUACUUGUUAGACCUCAACUUUCGAACCUGUUGGGCUAGAAUAGCCACCGGCUCCUCCUCAUAAGUCAAAUCCUUUUCCAAUUGGACUGAGCUGAAAUCUAAUACAUGGGACGGAUCACCAUAAUACUUCUAGAGUAUGGAAACAUGGAACACCGGGUGAACUACCUUUAAGCUGGGCGGAAAUGCAAGUCUAUAGGCCACCUCCCCAACUCUUUCAAGGAUCUCAAAAGGGCUAAUAUACCUAGGGCUCAACUUGCCCUUCUUUUCGAACCUCAUCACACCCUUCAUGGGUGAAACUCUGAGAAAAACUGUCUCCCCCGCCAUAUAAGCUACAUCCUGAACCUUUCGAUCAGUGUAGAUCUUCUUCCUAGACUGGGUUGUACGAAGCUGAUCCUGAAUCAACUUGACUUUCUUCAAGGCAUCCCGAACCAAAUCAGUACCCAACAACCUAGCCUCUUUCGGCUCAAACCAACCAACUAGAGAACCAUACCGCCUACCAUAUAAGGCCUCAUAAGGAGCCAUCUGAAUACUUGAUUGGUAGCUGUUGUUGUAGGAAAACUCAGUAAGCAGUAGAAAAUGAUCCCACGAACCCUUGCAAUCCAUAACACAAGUGCGUAUCAUAUCCUCUAAGAUCUGAAUGGUACGCUCGGACUGGUUAUCCGUCUGGGGGUGAAAUGAUGUAGUCAACUCAACUCGUGUGCCUAACUCACGUUGCAUGGCUCUCCAGAAAUUCAAUGUGAACUGCGUGCCUCGGUCUGAGAUUAUGGACACCGACACAUUGUGAAAACGCACAAUCUCCCGGAUAUAGAUAUGAGCCAGCUGAUAUAAAGAAUAGGUGACCACCACCGGAAUGAAAUGUACAGACUUGGUGAACCAAUCUACAAUGAUCCACACUACGUCAAAUUUCUUCAAAUUCAACAAUAAAAUCCAGGGUAAUAUGCUCCUACUUCCACUCAAGAAUCUCAAGUCUCUAAAGCAAAUCUCCCGGCCUUUGUUGUUCAUACUUCACUUGGUAGCAAUUCAAACACCAAGUCGUAUACUCUACUAUAUCUUUCUUCAUUCUUCUCUACCAAUAAUGUUGUCUCAAAUCCUGAUACAUCUUGGUGGCACCCAGAUGAAUGGAAUAUCGAGAACUCUAGACCUCCUUAAGAAUCAACUCACGAAGCCCAUCCACAUUGGUCAUACAAAUCUGAUCCUACAUCCGCAAAACCGAUCAUAUCUUAUAGAAACCUCCUUGCCAUCAUCGUGCUGCACUAUAUCCUUAAGAAUAAGAAAAUGGAGGUCGUCAUACUUACGCUCUCUGAUGCGCUAGUACAAAGAGAACCGAGAAACCACGCAAGCACAAACUCGGAUGUACUCCAAAACAUCUAACCUCACAAGCCGAUUGGCCAAAGCCUGAACAUCCAAUGCUAGCGGUCUCUGACCAACAGGAAUAUAUGCAAGGCUACACAUACUCUUAGCCUUUUUGUUCAAGGAUCGUUCACUACAUUGGCCUUCUUGGGAUGGUACAAAAUGGUGAUAUCAUAGUCUUUUAAUAGCUCUAACCACCUCCGCUACCUCAAGUUUAGAUCCUUUUUCUUGAACAAGUGUUGUAGACUCUGAUGAUCUGUGAAUACCUCACACGACACGCCAUAGAGGUAAUGCCUCCAAAUAUUCAAUGCAUGAACAAUAGCUACCAACUUUAGAUCAUGAAUAAGGUAGUGUUUCUCAUGAACCUUAAGCUUCCGAGACGCGUAGGCAAUCACCCUAUCAUCUUGUAUUAAUAUCAUGCCAAGCCUAAUACGCGACGCAUUACAAUACACAAUGUAAGACCCCGAACGCAUAGGCAAUACCAACACUAGAGAUGUAAUCAAAGCAGUCUUGAGCUUGUAAAAACUCAACUCAUACUCAUGAGACCACAUGAAUGGAGCACCUUUCUGGGUUAAUCUAGUUAAUGGGGCUGUGAUGGAUGAAAAUCCCUCCAUGAACUUAUGAUAAUAACCCGCCAAACCUAGGAAACUCUAAAUAUCUAUAACUGAAGUAGGUCUAGGCUAGCUAUGGAUUACCUCAAUUUUCUUAGGAUCCAGUUUAAUACCUUCAGACGAUACAACAUGGCCCAAAAAGGCAACUCACACUUUGAAAACUUGGCAAUAACUGACUAUCUCUCAGAGUUUGAAGUAUGAUCUGCAGAUAUUGCUCAUGCUCCUUUCAACUGCAGGAGUAGACCAAAAUAUCAUCAAUGAAGAUAAUCACAAAAGAAUCUAAAUAGGGCUUGAAUACCAGGUUCAUCAAAUCCAUAAAUGUCGCUAUGGCAUUUUUCAAGUCAAAUGACAUCACUAAAAACUCAUAGUGAUCAUUCCGAGUCUGAAAAGCUAUAUUAGGGACAUCCACUGCCUUAAUCUUCAAUUGAUGGUAGAAAGAUAUCAAAUCAAUCUUUAAAAACACUUUGGAACCCUGAAGCUGAUCAAAUAAGUCAUCAAUUCUCGGUAACAGAAACUUGUUCUUGAUAGUGACAUUAUUCAACUGUCGAUAAUCUAUACACAUCAUCAUCGAACCAUCCUUCUUCUUCAUGAAUAACACUAGUUCAUCCCCGGGCGAGACACUGGGUCUAAUGAAUCCAUUAUCAAGAAAAUUAUGCAACUGUUCUUUCAGUUCCUUGAACUCAACUGCGGCCAUACGGUAUUGUGGAAUAGAAAUGGGUUGAGUGCUCGGAGCCUAGUCAAUACAGAAGUCGAUAUCUCUAUCAUGUGGCAUCCCCGACAAACCUGCAUGAAACACCUUUGGAAACUCGCGCACAACUGGUACUGAAUCCAUAGAAGGAACCUCCGCACUAGGAUCACGGGUAUAGGCUAAAUAUGCUAGACAUCCGUUCUUGACCAUAUGCCGAGCCUUCACAUAACAAAUAACUCUGCUGAUAGAAUGGCCAGGAGUCCCCCUCCACUCUAAUCGGAGCAACCCUGACAUGGAUAAAGUCACCGUCUUGACGUGAUAGUCUAAAAUAGUGUGAUAAAUGACAACAAAUCAUGUCUAAGAUAACAUCAAAGUCCACCAUUUCAAGAAGUAGAAGAUCUACACUAGCCUCAAGGCUCCUGAUAGAAAUUACUCAUGUGUGAUAAACAUGAUCUACUAUGAUAGAAUCUCCCACAAGCAUGGACACAUAGACACGAGCACUCAAAGAAUCAUGAGGCAUAACUAGAUAUGAAUCAAAGUAGGAGGACAUGUAUGAAUAAGUAGAACUUAGAUCAAAUAAAAUUUAGGCAUCCCUAUGGAAAAUCGGAACAAUACCUGUGAUGAUGGCGAUAGAUGACUCUACCUCAGGUCUAGCUAGAAAUGCAUAACAACGGGCUGGGCCCUACCACUUUGACAUCCGCCUAUCGAACGACAUCUAAGUAGCUAGCCUCCACUUCUAAUGGCCUGACCUCCACCUCUAGCUGCCUGACCCCUACCUCCUGAUGUAACCUAUACCUCCACACUUAAAACACUCUCUCGGCUGUUGUGGCCGAGACUGACCCUGCUGGCCUGGAUAACCGUUGUAGUAACUCUAUAACGGUGGUGCGCUGAUAAGAUCUGAAGAUGCACUAAAUUCUAGCUGCUCAAGAGGAGACCCAUAAGAACCACGACUGCCCCAAAGCACCAUGGGCUACCUGAAGAGCUAACUGAAUCGGUCUAGAGGGUGGCCCCUUCCAAAAGAACCCCUACCUCCAAAUGAGGCACCAGUAAAACCACCAAAAUGAUGAGGCUUCUUCUCAAACACUGUCUCUCUACCCUGACUACGAUUCAUCUAGAAGGAAAUAUCAUCCACCCUCUCCUUGUCCAUCUGAAGCCUGAUACCGAAAGUAACACCAUCAAUAAACCUCCUCACCCUCUCUCUAUCAGUGAGAAUCAAGAGAGCUGCAUGACGGGCUAGGUCUACAAAUCUGGUCUCAUACUGGGUGACAAUCACGCCACCUUACUAGAGGCGCUCGAACUUCCUACGGUACUCCUCUCUCAGAGUGAAAGGAAUGAACUUCUCCAAAAAUAGCUGCAAGUACCAAUUCCAAGUAAGUGGAGGUGAACUGGCUGGUUUGCUCUUCACAUAAUCCUGCCACCAUUUCUUGGCGAAAUAGGUCAUCUGGAACACUGUGAAGUUGACCUCAUUGGUCUCAACAAUAACCAUGUUGUGCAACACCUCAUGGCAACGAUUCAAAUAAUCAUGUGGGUCUUCAGAAGGUGCACCACUAAAGUAAAAUGGAAAGAGCUUGGUGAACUUAACCAACAUUAUCAAUCUCUUAGAAGACAUUGUGGGCGUCUCCCCGGGCUGUGUAGUAACAACGGGAUGUGAUAUAGGAGAGACAUCUGCUCCAAAGUGUGAAUGGCGGGAGUUGGUGCUCCUUCCUCAGCCUUAGAGACAGUUGGUGCCAUAGGAAAUACUUCGGUCUGAGCAACACUCUCCAUGAGUCCAACAAAGCAGAGUAGAGCGUCCUGAAGUACGAGAGUGACAAUGAAUCCCUCUGGGACCUGAGCGGGUCAGACAGGUGCAAUAUGAACUGGGACCUACUCCUCAAGAUCAAUCUGAGGCUCCAUAAUGGGUGAUGCUAUAUGUGUUUUAGGCUAAGCUCUGCCUCUACCUCGGCCCCGACCCCAAUCCCUGGUAGUGGCUGCAAUAGGGGCUCCAGCUUUUGUCAUGCUGUAGAUGAUGUGCGUGUUCUCACCAUCUGCGAGCAAAUAAGAGUAGAAUGAUUCAAACUUCAGUAAUGGAAUAAAUUCACAUGAUAGAGAAAGAAAGAAGUGAAAUUUUUCUAAAGCCUUAUAUCCUCUGGAAGAUAAGUACAGACGUCUCCGUACUGAUCCUCUAGAAUCUACAAAGCUUGCUCAUGACUCGUGAGACCUAGACGACGGAUGUUUUGAAGCUAAAAUAAAUAGUAAUGAUACAACUGUUUUGAAGCUAAAAUAAAUAGUAAUGAUAGAAUGGAAGCAGCUAUACUUCAAGUCUCCAAACAGUAGCUGAAUCCAAGCUGUCUAGCUACGUGUCGCUGGAACCCACAUGGUAUCAGCACAAGAAGUGCAGAGUCUAGUAUGAGUAUAACCGACCCCAUGUACUUUGUAAGUGUCGAGCCUAACCUCGACAAAGUCGUGACGAGGCUAUGGCAAGUCACUUACAAAUUACCUGUACGAAAGAAUAAUAAUAAUAAUAACAGCACAAUAGGAAUAGAAAUAAAGCAAUUAACUCAGGAUAAUGGAUCUGAAAUUUCAAUUACUAGAGAGCCCAGAAUAACAAACACUCAAGUCUCAUAUCACAAUACCGAAGAUAACUCAACAAUCAAAAAUAAUUUACAACAUAUCUAAUCCGUUGCGGCGCGCAACCCGAUCCCACCAUAUUAUCAUUUAUUCAUAUCGUAAUUUGUCCUUACUCCUUCAUUAAAUUUCAUUACCUUUCAAUUUCCAUUGCGGCAUGCAACCCGCUCCCCAAACAAUCUCAAUCAUUAACAUAAAAAAUUCAACAAUAAUAUUUAAAAAAUAUCUACAUUAAGAAGGCAAAUGUACAAGACAGUAAAGAACCAUAGAAUAAUCAGAGAAUCUCUAAAAUCUCAGACCUUUCUAGUUCAUCGGUACAUAACAGUUAAUCAGCCCACGCAAGUGAGACAACAUUAUAGAGUGCAAUAAUAAUACAAAAAUAAUAGACAAGUAAAAUAUAUGACAAUUAAGAUAUGAAAUUAAGGUAGGUAGAAACAGGUAGCAAAUAAGCAAAAAUAAUGUGGGAAACGAACAAAUUAAGGCAAUGCAAUAAUUAAAUGACAAGUGACAAAUAUAACAUAGAAGUCAAGUAAAGACAUGUAACAAUUAAAGCAUGAAACAAAAGAUACUAUGAAAUAAAAGAAAACAUGGAAAUACAUGUCCAAUUCCUGCAUACUAAAUUCCAUGAUAGCGUGUAUACACUCGUCACCUCGUAUAUAUGUCGUUUUCCUACAUAAUUCACAUAAAAAAUUAUUCAACAAAUCCUAAUUCCCUCAAGUCAAGGUUAGACAUAACACUUACCUCACUCCGCGAACAAAGCCUUCUAUCAACCACGACCUUGCCUUUUUAACAAGCCUCUAAACCAACCAAAUCUAGAAAAUUAUCGAUCAAGAUUCAUAAUAAGCUUUAGGAACUACCCAUUAACGAAAGAGGAUUAAUUUUAAUCAUUUUUGGAAAAAAACGUCAACAAAAGUCAGCCCCGUACCCACUUGGUCCAAACUCAAAGUUCGGAGCAAAACCUGAUUAUCCAUUCACCCCUAAGCCCGAUUAUGUGAUUUGUUUUAAAAUCCAAACUCAAUUUGAGGUCUAAACCUCAAUUUUAUAAAAUCCCUAAUUUAUACCAAAAUUCCUAGUUUCUACCAUGGAAAUCCUAAAUUUAAUGUUGAAAUCUUAUGAAAAGUAAUGGUGAAUUGAAAGAAAGUAGAUUAGUUACUUACCAAUGAUUUUGGAAAGAAAAGUCUCUUAAAAAAAUGUCUCUAGAGGGUUGAGAAAUGUGAACUUUUGUCCUAAAAAAUGAGGCUCGCAAUUGCAAGUCAGACCUCGCAAAUGCGAGAUCUGCAACUGAAUACCAGAAACCAGCAGACUCCAAACCAUGCAAACUCAUCUGAAACGUGUCCAAAACUCAACUGAGCUCCUCGGGCUCAAACAAAACAUACACAAGUGUAAUAACAUCAUACUAACUUGCUCGCACGAUCAAAUCAUCAAAACAACACCUAAAACUAAAAAUCAACCCUCAAAAUAAAUGAAAUUUCAAAGGGAAACUCAAGAACAACUAGAAUCACAGCUAAACGUCUGAAUCAUAUCAAAUCAACUCUGAAUUGUAUCAAAUUUUGCAAAAAAAAAAGUUUCAAAUAACAAAAUGGACCUACACCAAGUCCCAAAAUCAAAAUUCGAACUCGAUAUCCCAUAACUCAACUUACAGUUAAACCUAGGAAAUUUUCAAACUUUUCAAACUUCUAGCUGUUGGCAAAAUGAGUCAAAUCAACCUAGGAACCUUCAAUUUCAAUUUCCGCCAUACGCGCAAAUCUAAAAUCAUAAUACGGACCUACCAGAAUAAUCAAAAUACCGAUCCAGGAUUGUUUACACAAAAAUAUUGAAUGUGGCCAACUCAAGUUAUUUUUAAAGUCAAAAAUUAUAUUUUCUUCAAAUUUUUAUGUAAAAGCUUUUUAAAAAAUGACACGGACCACACACACAAAUCAAGAAAUACCAAAUGGAGCUAACGAAGAUCUCGAGCUCAAAAUUAGGGGAUAGUACUCAAAAUGACAUAUUGGGUCGUCACAUGUAUUUUUCAAGAAAAUAACACAAUAAUAUGAUAUGAGUCAUAGCAUUAUACUAAAAUAUUCAAUAACAAAGAUAAUAAAAUAUUAUAAAAAAAUAUUACUAAUUUAUAAGCCAUAAUAAAAAUUAACAUAAUCUAAAAAAACUAUAUAGAUCAUGUUAAAAAAAGUACAACUAAUAAGUAUUGUUAAUUACACAACUAAGAACUAAAAAAAAGAUAAAUGUGAUUUUUGAUUAAGGUUACAAGAGAGAAAAAUUACACCUCUCUCCAUUCUCUAGCCAAAUAUCACUAACAUGGCCACACCUCCACCCCCUGCGGAGGAUCCAUCCUAAAAAAUCCUACCGGAACCACUAGACCCUGUCACACCUCCUUUACUACCCCCGAAAGGGUGUAAGGGAGUUUUUUCCAAUUUAAGUGACGAUCGAAACAUGAUUAUUUCAUUAAAAUUCAGAGUCACCACUUGGGAUAAUUUAUGGUGUCCCAAGUCACCGGUUUAAAUCCCGAAUCGAGGAAAGAUUGACUCUGUUUUACAGUUUGCGAACACAGAAAUUCGGGUAAGGAUUUCUGUUAACCCACAAGAAGGUGUUAGGCAUUCCUGGGUUCCGUGGUUUUAGCACGGUCGCUCAACUAUUAUUAUUGGCCUAUUUAUUUGAUUUUAAAACAUCUUUGAAACCUAUGUGCAUUUUAUCCCUUUAAAGUCGCUUUUAUUAAUCUAAUUAUCAUACAACUAAUUACUUUGGUUACACAUUACGAAUUAUAUCACGGGAACCGUACCCACAAUCCACAACAUAUUUAUUUUAUUAACAAGAUUAAAUUGGCCGGGUCACAUAAAUGUGCCCCCGGAUUUUAGAAAUUAAGCAUCACAACUACGUCACGGGAACCAUACCCGUAGCCAUGACAAUUAUUUAAUUAACGUGCCUAAAGCAAACUACGACGUUCAAGACUUGUCACUAAACUGACUUGAGAUGACUUGUAAAGGCCAAAGUUAUGGAUGUUAUUGUAUAUCAAUGGUAUUGAUAAGUUAUUAAAGAUAGCUACAACUUUACAAAUUACUAAAGUUUACAUCUUGAUGUCAUUUAACGUCAUGGGCCUGUUAGCAGGGAAUCCGUUUGGCCUAUUUGAAGCUAAAGGUUAUUUAAUUGAAGUCACCUAUUAAGAAAGAAAGGAAAAAGAACUUGCAAUAAUGAGGGAUAAAGCAUCAUAUCAGAUAAAAUAUAUUCACUGCCAACAGACAAGUAAUUAGCCAAAUUCAAACAUCUUGAAAGACAAAAUCCUGUUGAAAUCGAUUAAAACCCAGGUUGUGUUAAUAAAAAUUAUUCACUCUAAAUCAUUAAUCUAAUGCAUUUAAUAGCUCAUCAUUUUUUUUCUUUAUGGAAGUUAUCUAAAUUUUAAAGAUACAACAUAACAAUAAAAUUAGAAUGGAGGACUACGGAAAAUAAUUGGAAUAAGCACAAAGUCCAGACAUGUCCACUUAAAUGUCCUUUUGAAACUACGCUCAACAAAAGGCUAUGUAAAAUUAGUAAAGAUCAGCUCAAAUAAUAAUUAAACAAAUUUCAUACAUACGGACAAUGAGAAAUCAUGAACGGAGUAAGAGACGAACCCCCAAUUAUCACUAAUUAUUUUGCUUUAUAUUGGUUCAUCUAGGCUUUACUCACAUAAAUAAGAUCAAAAUAAAGACCAUAGGAGUAGAGAUGAACCUGUUAAUUCGAAAUUCUUUUAAUAAUAGUAUAUGAAUACAAUGUUUUACUCCAAAAUUACAACUGAAAACAGCAACAAUAUCGAGCAGAAACCACGAGCUAAAUCAAAAUCGCGAACCUCAGAUGGAAAAUUGAAUCGGCCUUCAGCAGAAGAAAGCGAAGAACAGAGAGCAAGUGUCCUUGCUUUGGAAUCCAAAAAUGGGAAAGGAGAAGCCGAUCUAUUUUCCUUUUAGCUUGCCAUUCAAUUGAAAAAGAGAGGUGAAAGCUAUAUUUACAUGGCUGCUGGUGAAAACUUCCCUAUUCAGAGGGGAGAGGCGCUAGGUUAUAGCUCUUUUAGAAAUGGGAUAUGUCGUUUUUUGGGGUCCCCCUGUCCUUAGGUCUAGGGUAUAUUUGUUUUAUAGGGGUUUUAGGUUAGGGGUAUGGGCCUAGGAAUUAUGGGCUUGAGAAUGAUGGGUUAGGUCCAAAAUUAGGCCUAAAAAUGGGUAGCUCGAGCCCAAGUUUUAUUCUUUCCCCGCGAACGAGACUAAAAAUACGUUCUCAUUUAUUAAUUAAUCCUACUUAAGUAAAAUAACUAUUAAAAUAAGACUAACUGUUAAAACAAAACUAUUUUUGGUAUUUCUCAAGAUUAAAAAUGAUUACAAAACAUUAAUGAAACUAUUUUUGUAAUUUUUAUUUUCUUGUAAUAAAAUAAAGUAAAAGAGUAAGAAUUAGUUGAAAUAGCUAUAUUAGGCCUAAAUUAAAUAUUUACAUGCUAAAAUAUAAAAAAUCUUGGGGAGGGUCAAAAAUCACAUGUCUACAGCUGCCCCUCUUUCACUGGAAACGCGAAGAGUUUUCGGACAAAGAACGACUAGACAGGUAUUUUGACCCGACCCUUAUUUAAGAAGACCAAAACUAAGAGAAAAGGGGAAUGGGACCGAGCCUUGGUAUCUGAUUUGCCUACAUAUCCUUGGCUAUAAAGGAAUUAGGCCAUGUGUAGUUCAGAGGUGAGUGAAAUGAUGGAGUACACCGAGGUGGAGAGUCAGUCGAGGUGCCGUUCCGCCGAGGUUCCGGUCCGCGGUCCUGUUAUUACAUCAAAAAUCAAAACACUAAAAAGACUAGAUAAGCCUAUCGACUACGAGUUACAAGAUUCCUAUCUAUAAGUCCUCUGAAGCUUGAUCUUGAGUCUUUAGUGGUUCUUCAUGCGGACUUUAGAUUUGAACCUUGACGCUUGCUAUUUGUAGGUGCUAGUUCAUCCUUCUUCAGCUUUUCGGAUCAAGACCAGACAUACCAUGCUUGUGACUUCAACCAUAUCUUGAGAAGCUCACAUUUUCAUCAACUUCUGCGCCUGGAUUCACUUCUUGUCUUUCUCUUUUGUUUUUUUUCUCUUUAUUGUGACUAACUUCUAUUGAUCACCUCGGACUGUUGACUCGCAUUCUUGUCGCGAGCUUCUUUUGUUGCUGAUGUGAAUUGCAUUCUAAAGUGAAUUCUCUUAUUCUCCAAGUAGGCGUCUGAUUGCCAAUACUUGACCUAUCUUCCUUCGAAACUUGUUGCUUUCCCUUUGUUCUCCAAGUGGGAUCCUGAUUACCAACACUUGCAUUGCUUUUCCUCGAAACUUGAACUGCUUCCCUUUGUUCUUCAUGCGGGCUCCUGAUUACUAAACUCCUUUGAACCUUGCUGCUUUCCCUUUGUUCUUCAGGUGGGCUCCUGAUUACCAACACUUGUGCCUCUUUUCCUCGAAAUUUGAACUGUUUUCCCUUUGUUCUCCAGGUGGGCUUCUGAUUGCUGAAUUUGAACUACUUCCUCUUGAGACUGCUUUUCCUUUGAACUGUCUUUCCUUGCUCUCCAGGGGGGUUGCUUGAUUGCCGAACUUGAUCCUCUUUCCUUUGAACUUGUGCCGUCCUCCCUUUGUUCUCCAGGUGGGUGCCUGAUUUCAUUAAAAAAACAAAACAAAUAAAAUUUUCUGCCCCAGUUUGCAUUAGGAAGAUUUGUGAGUUGUUAGCAAUAUUGUAAACCACUUAUACUAUUGAUGCAACGAUGAGUGUAAACUAAUGACUAGACUAGGAUGUGCGUCUCCUAUGAGUAAAACAGAAAACUUUGACUAGCAAAUGCAUUUGGUAAAAAUAAAACAUGAAUGAACCAAACUGGGAGGUGCGUCUCCUAGGGGUGAAACUUGAAUGAACCAAACUAGGAAGUGCGUCUCCUAUGAAUGAACUCUCAAUUUAGGAAGUGCAUCUCCUAAAAGAAUAACUUUAAAGACCUUGAUUAGGAAGUGCGUCUCCUACAGGUAAAACUUCAAUGAACUAGACUAGGAAGUGCGUCUCCUGGGGCAAACUUAAAUGACUCAAACUAGGAAGUGCGUCUCUUAGGGAUGAAAUAUCAAUUUAGGAAGUGCAUCUCCUAACACAAAAUAUAACUUGGCAGACCCAGACUAAGAAGUGCAUCUCCUAUGGGUGAAACUUCAAUGGCUCAAGUGCGUCUCCUAUGGAUGAAACUUCAAUGGCUCAAGUUAGGAUGUGCGACUCCUAGGGGUGAAAUCUCAAUUUAGGAAGUACGUCUCCUAACACAAAAUAUAACUUGACAGACCCAGACUAGGAAGUGUGUCUCCUAGGGGUGAAACAUCAAUGACUCAAACUAGGAAGUGUGUCUCCUAUGAACGAACUUAAAUGAACCAAAUUAGGAAGUGCGUCUCCUAGGGGAAGAAUGUCAACUUAGGAAGUGCGUUUCCUGAAAAUGUAUCCUGAAAAACCCAGACUAGGAAGUGCAUCUCCUAAGGGUAAAACUUUAAUGCUUAGAACUAGGAAUUGCAUCUCCUAGGGGAAAGCUCAAUGUAGGAAGUUCGUCUCCUAAAACAAAAAUAUAACCUGAAAAACCCAGACUAGGAAGUGCGUCUCCUAGGGGUGAAACUUUAAUGGCUCAAACUAGGAAGUGUAUCUCCUAUAAAUGAACUCUCAGUUUAGGAAAUGUGUUUCCUAAAGGUGUAACUUCAAUGACUCAAACUAGGAAGUGCAUCUCCUAUGAAUGAACUCUCAAUUUAGGAAAUGCGUCUCCUAUGAAUGAACUCUCAAUUUAGGAAGUGCAUCUCCUAAAGGUGUAACUUCAAUGACUCAAACUAGGAAGUGUGUCUCCUAUGAAUGAACUCUCCACUUAGGAAGUGCACCUCCUACAACAAAAUAUAACUUGAAAACCCAGACUAGGAAAUGCUUUUCCUGGUGGUGAUGUAUGAUCUUCUAAAUAGCCUUUGCGUAAGCAGAAUUGGGGCAUUAUCCUGAAAAUUUCAACCUUCCAAGCUUUGAUAUGAGCAUAGCUUCCAUCCCUAUAUCAGACAAAGAAAACUUAUGAGUUUAAACAUGGUGGUUGGUUUGUGGCCUUGACUUUGCGGCGAUUGCUCCUUCACUUGCCAUGAUAACUUUGAUUUCACCUUGAAAGACAUUGCUUGCUUAUUGACUAACCAAUUUCUCUGUCACUCUUAUCACAGAAAUACCUUUGAUAUCACCCAACAUCCUCUACCUAUUGUUCAUGAAUUGAUAUAUACCAAACCUUUGUAUUUCACAUGAAUCCCAAAGCAUGUUGAUUGUUAACAACUCGGUGCGCACGUUGUUCUUUCCUGACUUAUGCCACUUUGAUGUGCUAGCCAAAUUCUUUUUUGUACGAUUGGAAAGUUGGUAGCAAAUUUUGAAGUCAUUUCUCACUUGUUCUAACCAAAUAGACUAAAGAAGGGGAAGAAAACAAAACAAAAGGAACAGAGUAAGGACUAUGGAAAGAGAUGAUUCCUAACAAGAAAACUAAACACUUAUCAGAUGUGGAUACCAACUUUAAUGACCAUGACAUGCACUUUUGGAUUAAAUGGCCUAAUCUGCCAAGCAAGUCCGAUGUUCAACUCUUAUUGUACCUCUUCACCGUGAAAUCGGGCUUCAAUGCUCCGAUUUUCCAAUCUGAUUCACGAUCCUUAUUCGACUUGUAGUUCCCAAAGGGUUUUCACCAUCAAGCCUCUCUCAUUUUGUUCUUUCUCUCAACUUACCGUCGCCUUAUGGCGCCUGUGAAGGUUUUCACCGAUAAGACUCUCUCAUUUUUAUUUUCCUUGUGUAGCACGGAGUGCUUCCCCUGGUGCAAACAUACCUCUGUCUCGCUUGACUUGGCAUUCUCAAGUAUUGGUCAGAAGGUCUUUCUUUGGAUCGUAAUGUAGACUUUUGGAUAGGGUUAGAAAGAAAGGAUUUCAAAAGGCUCAAAAAAACAUGAAUGAGUUCAAAAUUACAACUCGUGGAAUCAGAUUUCUUACAACAAUCACAACUUCUGUCCCAGUUUCUUUGCCUGGGGGCUUUUGGAUUUUUAUUUUGAUGGGACCGAACCGUGAGGCUACCUACGUAUUCUUAAAAGGAAUAAGGUCGAACGUAGUUCAUGACAUAGGAAUUGCUUCGUUUUUGUACUUUUCUCUCUUUUUUUUUCUUCUUUUUCUCUUUUUCCUUUUCUUUUAUUUUCUUUACUCUUUUUCCAUUUUUUCUUUCUCUUUUUCUCUUUUUCUCUUUUUUCUUUCCGUUUUCUUUCCCUUUUCUCUGUAUCAUAUUUCUAAUCUCUGUUUUUAUUCCAAAAUAGGGAUGUGAAAGAAAAUAAAUAAGGCUCAAAAGGAUGACAAAGGAUAAAAUGUUUAGAUAACAGAAUAAAAUGCCUUCGUCAUUCCAAUCUUCAAAGCAUGCCAAACACAAACAACACAAUUAAACAAACCAAAGAAAUCAUACGUAAUAUCUUUUGACUACAUCAGAAUCGAUAGCCAUAUCCACAAAUUUGCCUUCUGCAUUUGUCAAAUACAAAGCACCAUUGGACAACACUCUCGUUACCACGAACGAUCCCUGCCAAUUUGGGGCAAACUUGCCUUUAGCUUCAACCCGAUGCGGCAUGAUACAUUUCAAUAAGGUUUCUUUAUGUUCUAUCUGCCCCAGUUUCACACAAUUCAGGCUUGAAGUGAUCUCAAAAUUCCUUUACUUAUUUCCCUCAAAUGUCCUUAUCAUCUUCAAAAUUGUUUCAUUGCUUCAUGAUUAAACUAACUUUACGACCAGGCUUGGAAUUAUGCGUGCAUGUCAUGUCACUAGAGCCAGCCAUAAAGGAACUAUAAAAAGAAAAGAGAACAAAACAAAAAAUGACUAGAAAUAACAUAAAACAAAAAAUUACAUUAGACAGAUGGUGAAAGAGUUUGAACAACAAAACAAGUAAAAUAAACUGGGGUUACAACCCUGGAACAAACCUAGAUAACACUAAAAGAUUUACGACGAAAAGACAAACUAGGCAAAAUAAAAGGAUAGAAGGGUUUGAAUCACAAGACAAUAUCCGGAUUACAACCCUAAAAAUAACCCAGACAACAGAAAUGACAUCAAAAUAAACCACCAAGACUCCUCUCCAGCUAGCCAAGAGAUAGAGCGUCUUUCCAAUUACCAAGCACGACAUCUUAGCCACUGGGUUCUACAUCAACAUUGCCAAAACCAUUAACAACUUCAAUAUCAUUAACUUCAGUCAGCAAGUUCCCAAGAGGAUUCGCAUCCCUCUCAUUGUUAUUGAUCACAAUUAGCCUUUCUUGAAUCAUUCUUUCUAUUUCCCUUUUCAAAGAAUGACAAUCUUCAAUGCUAUGCCCUUGGACAUUAGAGUGGUACAUGCAUUGUACAGUAGGAUCAAAGCCUUUUGCAUAUGGGUCUGGAGUAUAGCCUAGUAGCGGCUCAAUCGAGCCAGAAUGCUUUAACUUUUCAAACAAGCUUGUGUAGGACUCCCCAAUUGGCGUGAAACUAUUUCUUUGUCUUUGUUCUCUUCCCUGCCCCUGUUUCGUAGGGUUGUUGGGUGCUCGAAAAUGUUGUGAAGUCAAGAAUACAUUAUGCGCUGAUGAUGCUCACCAUAGGGAGAGACCUGGUUGUUGGACAGAUGACCGGACAUUGUUCGGAGGAUAAUACUGAGGUGGAUUAUGUGGAGCUCGGUGAUAGGUUUGGGGUUGGAGUUGAGGCUGGGUAUAUUGGUGAGGCAGGACCUUUGGUCCAUGUCGUGACUCUAAAACAACCAUGGCAACAUCAUCGUGUUCCUUCUGACCCCGCAAGCUUCUUAUGUCAUUCGGAAUUGCUUGUGUUGUUGCUUUUAAAGUAGAAUAGCUCAUGAUCUUGCUCGACUUCAACCCAUCUUCUACCAUUUCUCCCAUUUUUACCACAUCAUUAAAAGGCCUACCCACAUCCGUGAUUAAAUGCCCAAACUAAGUUGGCUCUUGAGCUUGGAGAAAGUACUCGACCAUCUCUUUUUAUUCCAUUGGGGGAUUCACUCUGGUAGCUUGUUCUCUCCAUCUAAGCCUGUAUUCCCCAAAGCUUUCAUUAGGCUUCUUUUCCAUCUUGGUGAGGGACAUGUGAUCCGGGACAAUUUCUAUAUUAUACUGAAAGUGCCUGGCAAAGGCCUGAGCCAUAUCAUCCCACGUGUACCACCUGCUAGCAUCUUGGCGGGUGUACCACUCCAGAGUUGCCCCACUCAGACUUUGACUGAAAUGCGCCAUCAAUAAUUUGUCUUUCCCACCGGCGCCUCUCAUCUUACUGCAGUAGCCUCUCAAAUGGGCCACGGGAUAUCCAUGUCCGUCAUAUAAAUCAAACUUUGGCAUCUUAAUCCCAUCAGGAAGUUGGACGUCAGGAAACAAGCACAAGUCAUUGUAAGUCACGCUCAUCUGGCUCCCUAUCCCUUACAUGUUUCUUAAAGACUGCUCUAAGAUUUUCACCUUCCUGGAUAUCUCAUCUUGCUCCACUGUCUUAGCAGGUUUUUAAGUUUCACCGGGAGGCUCAAAAUGAGGAAUGUGAGAAUAUGGAUCCAAGACAUUGAAAGUUGGUUUCCGAGCACAGUGUUAGGCAUUGGGGACUUUGAACAUAGUCUCGUUAGAGGAUCGAGGAAAAAUAGCUAGUAGAAGAGUUGCAAGAGCAUGAGUGGCCAAAGGAGUGGGAUACGAGGUGGUUUUGGCGGGUAGAGUGUGAAAAGGUCAUGGGGAGAUAUCAGCAGCAGUGAGAAUCUGGAUUUGUGGUAGUGGUGGGAUAGUUGCAGGGUUUUCAGUGUAGUUAGUGGGGAAUGAAGGUGGAGGAUGCCCCCUGAUCCAAGAUUGAUACAUUUCUGCCAUCUAUUGUUUCACCCUUUGGACCUCCUCUUUUAAUUCAGACUCCGACUCCACAAACUCCCUUGACGGGUCAACAACUCUUGUGCCCAAGUUUUUGAUAGCCAUGGCUACCUUGCCCUUUGACCUUGUGUUGUAUGGACGAGUUACCUUAAGAACCACGAACCAACCACCCUUCUGCUAUAAUGAGGAGAACAAAGAGGAACAAAGUGAAGUCAUCAUGUUAGCGUUAGGGCAUUUAACAGCUAAAAAUAUCACAUUUCGUGCAAUGCACCUAGCAACAAUUAACAGUUCAAGAAUGACUUCGAGGGUCACAAGGUCACCUGGCAUCAUCCCAAUUUGUCCAUUUGAAUCUUCUCUUUUCUUUUCUAUGCUCACACUUCUUAGCUCACUCAUUUUCUUUCCUCUUUUUUUUCUAUCUGAUUAUCGCUCUUUUCUUCCCUCUCAUUUCUCACAUCUCAUGAUUUCAUUUUUUUGGUUGUUUUUUAUUUUAUUUUAUUUUUCUCUUUUUUUCUUUUAAUAAUAAAAAAAAAUGAUUCGAUCGAACCCUAUGUAGGUUGCCUACGUAUCAUGACGCCACAUGAAUCAGAUCUUUGCGUAGUUCGGGAAAAUUGAGAAUAAAGUAAACAAACUAACAUUCUCUUUUCUUUUUCUUUUUCUUUAAUGACUACUCUGAUGAGAAAAGAGAAACAAAAGAAACAAAUCUUUUUUAUUAUUUUUCUAGACUGUAUGUUCUAUAACCUAUUCUGAACUCAAGCCUAACGAGCAUGUAUUAUUUUUGAAACAAAUACUCUAUGGAAAAUUAUUAAGGAAAAAUUUCUAGAAGAGAAAAAUAUAUAUAUUUUUUGAUUCUUUUUUUUAGGAAGGAAAUCUAAAGAAUAAAUCAAAGAAAACUAUUUUGAAUUUUCACUUGAUAUCCUGAAGAAAGAUUGCGAAACGAGAAAUGAACAAGAUAAAAAAAAGUAUUUGGAUUUCAAUUUUUGAUUACCUAAAGAUGAAACUUUAGAGAUAAACAAAGGACAAAGUAUGUUUUUUUUCUCCUAUGUACAAUAUCAUAAAAUUGAAGUGAAAAAUAGAAAGAAUAUAUUUUUUUUUGUUUUAUUAAUUUCCGCAAUAAGAACCUCAAAGGAAAAUCUUUUUGGAUUUUGGAAUUAAUAUCUUAAAGAAAACUUGUAAAGAGAUAUAAAAAGAGAAAAAUCCCAUUUUUUGAGUUUUUAGUCCUAGUAUCCUAAAAGAAAUAUAAAAGAUUUUUUGUUUUUGUUUUUGAGUUCUAGAUAUUAAUUUUCUAAAGGAAAAACCACCUCAAAAGAAUUAGUAUUCUAAAAGAAAAAUUCUAACAGAAAAUUAUAAAAACGCGAAAACUUGUCACACCUCCUUUUUACCUACACCCCCGUAAAGGGGUAUAUAGGGGAGUAUUUUUCCAACUUAAAGUGACAAUCGAAACGAGAUAUAUUUAUUUUAAAAUUCAGAGUCUCCACUUAGGAUAAUUUAUGGUGUCCCAAGUCACCGGUUAAAUCCCGAAUCGAGGAAAAGAUUGACUCUGUUUUUACAGUCCGCGAACCAGAAAUUCAGGUAAGGAAUUUUGUUAACCCGGGAGAAGGUAUUAGGCAUUCCCGAGUUCCGUGGUUCUAGCACGGUCGCUCAACUAUUAUAAUUUGCCUAUUAUCUGAUUUUAGUACAUGUUUUAGCCUAUGGUGCAAUUUUAACUUUAUUAGCCGCUUUUAAUUAUUUUUAAGGAAAAUUGCAACGUCAUUUAAAAUACACCUCGAACCACGUCACAUAAAUGCACCCGCAGUCCUCGGCAUAUUUUAUCUAACAAUGUUGAGAUUUGCAUUUGGGUCACAUAAAUGUGCACCCGAGUUUAGGAAGGUAAAUUAUUAAAAUAGCGUGCCUAAAGCUACUAUGCAUUUUUAAACUUGCGAGGGUCAUGACAAUUCAACUAAAUGGCACGCCUCGAUUUCUAAGGAUUCAAGUAUUAAUUAAGCGAGGGCCGUGCGUUUUAAGAUUUUUAUUUGGCACGGCACACCUCGGUUCCAACUUUUUAAAGGAAAUUCAAAACCAAACUUUCGAGGGCCAUAACUACUCUUCACAAUUAAUGUUGUCACUACUUAAAACUGCAUCAUGUUAUUAACGUAAUAAUCAACACAUUCCAUACGUACUCAUGUGCAUGACAAAUUAUUGCAACCAGAAUCAGGUAGAUGAACAAAACUCAACAUAAACUAACCAAAGUUUCAUUCAUGAAUUCGAAUAAGUGCAGAAAGGUGAAUGUUUCGACUAAGUAGGCUAGAAUAAGUAGUAAGCGAGAACAAUAUUGUACGUGAACCAAUACUCUCAGGCAAUUAAGCAUAAAUCCAUCGUAAUGGCCCUACGGCAACACAAGAUCCCAACAAUUAAAGAGAUAAACAAUAACCUGAAUAAUUACAAACAACUAUUACCAGCCCAUUUCCUUUAAACUAAACAAGAUUUAGACGUAUUAAAUCUAACACACCACCAAUAAGCAGUAAACCAGCACAAAUAAGCAGUAAAGCCAAACAAACAUGUGGGGGAGUUCAAGAUUCAACGUUGAAAAUGUACCCAAACAUUGAAGCAACUAAGAAGGGAUUAGAAUGGACCUGAGAUAUAUUUUUUUUAAAAUGGAAUCUGAAAAUGCUUAACGAAACUCGACGGAGCUCAACAACGGACCUCGAUGGUACCACGACCUUGGACUUUAUGUUUCCAAACUCAAAUGACGAUAAAAGACGAAGCCAGAACCUACUGGGUCGAAAGCUAACUUUGGUAACGAUUGAGGCUGCUUUCAAUCGGGUUUCAGUAGAAUAGGAGCGAACCUCCAGCUGCUCCUUGUUUGACGAAACGUGGUGCUCGGACAAGAGAAUUAAUGCAGAAGGAACAAGGAACGAACAUAAAAGAGAGGGAGACGCAGUUAGAAUUUUGGAGUUGGAGAAAUGGUAUUUGGUUAGUCAGCGGCGCGUCUGGAACUCGUUAAUCCGACGAGCUGGUGGAGCUCGUUUUUUCGGCGAGUUUCAGGCAGAGAUGGAGGUCAUUUGAUGAUUAAUGUUCGGGGUCGUUGGCGUUUUUCCGGUGAGCUGGGGUCAUCUGACUCACCGCUUGAGAGAUAUGACUGUGUUGUUGCUGUUGGUUCAAGAAGAAGAACGGGGGAGGGGUCUUAUAAAAGAGACGGGAAUCUAGGGGGGUGGGGGGUCGUGAAGAAGACGACACAGGGGGUGGGGUUCGUUGGUGCGCAGCCUUUUCAGUUGCUGCUUUCAGAUUUUUUGUUCGUUCUCAGCCUUCUUCUUCGUUAUUCAUGCGCAACUUUUUGCUGCUUUUCGUUCCAGCUCCUUCUUCGUUAUUCAUGCGUAGCUUUUGCUGCUUUUCGUUCCUGCCUUUUUCCGUUCUUUUUUUCGUUUUUUUUUUGCUUUUUUGUUUGUUCGUUCUCUUCAUGCGCAGCUUUUGCUGCUUUUUGUUCUUCUCCUUUUCCUUUAGUCUUAAACAUUCUUUUAUAGUGUAGAGUCUAGGUUGUAGGGUUUUAGGUUAGAGGUAUGGGCCUAGGAAUUAUGGGUUUGGCAAUUAUGGGCUAGGUCCAAAAUUAGGCCUAAAGAUGGGUUGCUCGAGCCCAAAGCUCUAUUCUUUUCGCUGCGAACGAGAUUAAAAAUACGGGCCCAUUUAUUAAUUAUUCCUACUAUUAAAAUAAUUAUUAAAAUAAAAUAUCAAAUUAAAAUAAAAAUACGAUACUAUUGUUGUAUAUAUUUUUUAAGAUUUUUUUUAGAUUAAAAAUUACUACAAACAUUAAUNNNNNNNNNNNNNNNNNNNNNNNNNNNNNNNNNNNNNNNNNNNNNNNNNNNNNNNNNNNNNNNNNNNNNNNNNNNNNNNNNNNNNNNNNNNNNNNNNNNNNNNNNNNNNNNNNNNNNNNNNNNNNNNNNNNNNNNNNNNNNNNNNNNNNNNNNNNNNNNNNNNNNNNNNNNNNNNNNNNNNNNNNNNNNNNNNNNNNNNNNNNNNNNNNNNNNNNNNNNNNNNNNNNNNNNNNNNNNNNNNNNNNNNNNNNNNNNNNNNNNNNNNNNNNNNNNNNNNNNNNNNNNNNNNNNNNNNNNNNNNNNNNNNNNNNNNNNNNNNNNNNNNNNNNNNNNNNNNNNNNNNNNNNNNNNNNNNNNNNNNNNNNNNNNNNNNNNNNNNNNNNNNNNNNNNNNNNNNNNNNNNNNNNNNNNNNNNNNNNNNNNNNNNNNNNNNNNNNNNNNNNNNNNNNNNNNNNNNNNNNNNNNNNNNNNNNNNNNNNNNNNNNNNNNNNNNNNNNNNNNNNNNNNNNNNNNNNNNNNNNNNNNNNNNNNNNNNNNNNNNNNNNNNNNNNNNNNNNNNNNNNNNNNNNNNNNNNNNNNNNNNNNNNNNNNNNNNNNNNNNNNNNNNNNNNNNNNNNNNNNNNNNNNNNNNNNNNNNNNNNNNNNNNNNNNNNNNNNNNNNNNNNNNNNAAACCUAUGUGCAUUUUAUCCAUUUAAAGUCGCUUUUAUUAAUCUAAUUAUCAUACAACUAAUUACUUUGGCUACACAUUGCGAAUUAUAUCACGGGAACCGUACCCAAAAUCCACAACAUAUUUAUUUUAUUAACAAGAUUAAAUUGGUCGGGUCACAUAAAUGUGCCCCCCGAUUUUAGAAAUUAAGCAUCACAACAACGUCACAGGAACCGUACCCGUAGCCAUGACAAUUAUUUAAUUAACGUGCCUAAAGCAAACUACGACGUUCAAGACUUGUCACUAAACUGACUUGAGAUGACUUAUAAAGGCCAAAGUUAUGGAUGUUGUCGUAGAUCAAUGGUAUUGCUAAAUUAUUAAAGAUAGCUACAACUUAACAAGUUGCUAAAGUUUACAUCUUGAAAUCAUUUAACGUCAUGGGCUUGUUAGCAGGGAAUCCAUUUGGCCUAUUUGAAGCUAAAAGUUAUUUAAUUGAAGUCACUUAUUAAGAAAGAAAGGAAAAAUAACUUGCAAUAAUGAGGGAUAAAGCAUCAUAUUAGAUAAAAUAUAUUCACUGCCAAUAGACAAGUAAUUAGCCAAAUUCAAUCUUAAGACAAAAUCCUGUUGAAAUCGAUUAAAACCCAGGUUGUGUUAAUAAAAAUUAUUCACUCUAAAUCAUUAAUCUAAUGCAUUUAAUAGCUCAUCCUUUUUUUUCUUUAUGGAAGUUAUCUAAAUUUUAAAGAUACAACAUAACAAUAAAAUUAGAAUGGAGGACUACGGGAAAUAAUUGGAAUAAGCACAAAGUUCAGACAUGUCCACUUAAAUGUCCUUUUGAAACUACGCUCAACAGAAGGCUAUGUAAAAUUAGUAAAGAUCAGCUCAAAGAAUAACUAAACAAAAUUCAUACAUAUGGACAAUGAGAAAUCAUGAACGGAGUAAGAGACGAACCCCCAAUUAUCACUAAUUAUUUUGCUCUAUAUUGGUUCAUCUAGGCUUUACUCAUAUAAAUAAGAUCAAAAUAAAGACCAUAGGAGUAGAGAAGAACCUGUUAAUUCGAAAUUCUUUUAAUAAUAGUAGAGGAAUACAAUGUUUUACUCCAAAAUUCCAACUGAAAACAGCAACAAUAUCGAGCAGAAACCGUGAGCUAAAUCAAAAUCACGAACCUCGGAUGAAAAAUUGAAUCGGCCUUCAGCAAAAGAAAGCGAAGAAUAGAGAGCAAGUGUCCUUGCUUUGGAAUCAAAAAAUGGGAGAGGAGCAGCCGAUCUAUUUUCCUUUUAGCUUGUCAUUCAAUUGAAAAAGAGAGGUGAAAGCUAUAUUUACAUGGCUGCUGGUGAAAACUUCCCAAUUCAGAGGGGAGAGGUGCUAGGUUGUAGCUCUUUUGGAAAUGGGAUAUGCCGUUUUUU